rnacentral:rRNA from 1 species
GACGAACGCUGGCGGCGUGCUUAACACAUGCAAGUCGAACGGAAAGGCCCUGCUUUUGUGGGGUGCUCGAGUGGCGAACGGGUGAGUAACACGUGAGUAACCUGCCCUUGACUUUGGGAUAACUUCAGGAAACUGGGGCUAAUACCGGAUAGGAGCUCCUGCUGCAUGGUGGGGGUUGGAAAGUUUCGGCGGUUGGGGAUGGACUCGCGGCUUAUCAGCUUGUUGGUGGGGUAGUGGCUUACCAAGGCUUUGACGGGUACCCGGCCUGAGAGGGUGACCGGCCACAUUGGGACUGAGAUACGGCCCAGACUCGUACGGGAGGCAGCAGUGGGGAAUAUUGCACAAUGGGCGGAAGCCUGAUGCAGCAACGCCGCGUGCGGGAUGACGGCCUUCGGGUUGUAAACCGCUUUCGCCUGUGACGAAGCGUGAGUGACGGUAAUGGGUAAAGAAGCACCGGCUAACUACGUG